CCUACGGGAGGCAGCAGUGGGGGAUAUUGCACAAUGGGGGGAACCCUGAUGCAGCGACGCCGCGUGGGUGAAGGAGCGUUUCGGCGCGUAAAGCCCUAUCGGCAGGGAAGAAGGAGGACGGUACCUGACUAAGAAGCCCCGGCUAACUACGUGCCAGCAGCCGCGGUAAUACGUAGGGGGCAAGCGUUAUCCGGAUGUACUGGGUGUAAAGGGAGCGCAGACGGCAGCGCAAGCCAGGAGUGAAAGCCCGGGGCUCAACCCCGGAACUGCCCUUGGUACUGCGCGGCUAGAGUGCAGGAGGGGCAGGCGGAAGUCCAGGUGUAGCGGUGAAAUGCGUAGAUAUGAGGAGGAACACCAGGGGCGAAGGCGGUCUGCUGGAAAGGAACUGACGGUGAGGCGCGAAAGCGUGGGGAGCAAACAGGAUUAGAUACCCGAGUAGUC
rnacentral:rRNA from 1 species